UUGAUUUCAAAAGAAAAUGUAGGUAUAAGUAACGAUAAAUGAAGUGAAAAACUUCAUCGCCGAAAGUCUAAGGGUUCCUGAUCAACGUUAAUCGGAUCAGGGUUAGUCUGGACCUUAGGAAAACCCGAAAGGGGCAUCUGAUGGAAAACUGGUUAAUAUUCCAGUACCUGCUAUGCAUUAAAAGUGACGGAGAAUGCUAGCCACAUAAGCUGACGGAAUAGCUGAGCGGAUCCUUCGGGUGAGGCGUAGUGGUGAAAGUUCUUCCAAGAAAAGCGAGUAUAGCGGCCAGUACCGCAAACCGACACAGGUAGACGGGAUGAGUAUUCUAAGGCGCUCGGGUGAGCCGUGGAGAAGGAACUAGGCAAAUUAACGCUGUAACUUCGGGAUAAAGCGUUCCCGAUGCAUAAUCGGGACACAGUAAAAUGGUUCAACCAACUGUUUAACAAAAACACAGGGCCCUGCAAAAUCGAAAGAUGACGUAUAGAGCCUGAAACCUGCCCGGUGCCGGAAGGUUAAGGAAGGAUGUUCGACGCAAGUCAAAGCUUCUGACUGAAGCCCCGGUAAACGGCGGCCGUAACGAUAACGGUCCUAAGGUAGCGAAAUUCCUUGUCGGGUAAGUUCCGACCUGCACGAAGGGUCUAAUGAGUUGAACACUGUCUCCUCCACGAGCCCGGUGAAAUUGUAGUAUCGGUGAAGAUGCCGGUUACCCGCCACGGGACGGAAAGACCCCGUGAACCUUCACUACAACUUUGCAUUGAUUUUGAGCAACCGAUGUGUAGGAUAGUUGGGAGACUUCGAAGCAGUGUCGCUAGGCAUUGUGGAGUCAACGUUGAAAUACCAACCUUCGAUUGCUUAGAACCUAACCCAUUUUUGGGAACAGUGCAUGGUGGGUAGUUUGACUGGGGUGGUCGCCUCCUAAAAAGUAACGGAGGCUUGCAAAGGUACCCUCAAUACGGUUGGUAAUCGUAUAUAGAGCGCAUUAGUAUAAGGGUGCUUGACUGUGAGGCAUACAGGCCGAGCAGGGACGAAAGUCGGCUAAAGUGAUCCGGUGGUUCUGUAUGGAAGGGCCAUCGCUCAAAGGAUAAAAGGUACUCCCGGGAUAACAGGCUGAUCUUACCCAAGAGCUCAUAUCGACGGUAAGGUUUGGCACCUCGAUGUCGGUUCGUCACAUCCUGGGGCUGGAGAAGGUCCCAAGGGUUCGGCUGUUCGCCGAUUAAAGUGGCACGUGAACUGGGUUCAGAACGUCGCAAGACAGUUCGGUCCCUAUCUGUGGUGGGCGCAAGUAAAUUGAGAGGACGUGACCUUAGUACGAGAGGACCGGGUCGCAUGUACCGCUGGUGUAUCAGUUGUGCCGCCAGGUGCAAUGCUGAGUAGCUAUGUACAGUCAGGAUAAACGCUGAAAGCAUCUAAGCGUGAAACCUUCCUCAAGAUGAGUUUACUUUUAAGGGUCGUAGUAGACGACUACGUUGAUAGGCUAUAGGUGUACAGUUAGCAAUAACAAAGCCGAGUAGUACUAAUUGCCCGUAAGCUUUAAUC
rnacentral:rRNA from 1 species